AUACCGCAUACGAUCUACGGAUGAAAGCAGGGGACCGCAAGGCCUUGCGCUCAUGGAGCGGCCGAUGGCAGAUUAGGUAGUUGGUGGGAUAAAAGCUUACCAAGCCGACGAUCUGUAGCUGGUCUGAGAGGACGACCAGCCACACUGGGGACUGAGACACGGCCCAGACUCCUACGGGAGGCAGCAGUGGGGAAUUUUGGACAAUGGGGCGAAAGCCUGAUCCAGCCAUGCCGCGUGCAGGAUGAAGGCCUUCGGGUUGUAAACUGCUUUUGUACGGAACGAAAAGGUCUUUUCUAAUAAAGAAGGCUCAUGACGGUACCGUAAGAAUAAGCACCGGCUAACUACGUGCCAGCAGCCGCGGUAAUACGUAGGGUGCAAGCGUUAAUCGGAAUUACUGGGCGUAAAGCGUGCGCAGGCGGUUAUAUAAGACAGAUGUGAAAUCCCCGGGCUCAACCUGGGAACUGCAUUAGUGACUGUAUAGCUAGAGUGCGGCAGAGGGGGAUGGAAUUCCGCGUGUAGCAGUGAAAUGCGUAGAUAUGCGGAGGAACACCGAUGGC
rnacentral:rRNA from 1 species